UGGUGUCUGGUCAGUGUAAAACUAGGCUGC
rnacentral:piRNA from 1 species